rnacentral:sRNA from 2 species
UUGCUAUCUGCGAUAUGGAAGAUUCGAACCUGCCGCAGGUUCGGGUCUCAUGCAGUGAGACAACGGAGCCGUUUACGGCGACGGCCCGAAGGGCGAGCGAAGCGAGUCAUCCUACACGACCCACCA